GGAUGCGAUCAUACUAGCACUAAAGCAUCGGAUCCCAUCAGAACUCCGAAGUUAAGCGUGCUUGGGUGAGAGUAGUACUAGGAUGGGUGACCUCCUGGGAAGUCCUCGUGUUGCAUUAC
rnacentral:rRNA from 2 species